rnacentral:rRNA from 1 species
GACGAACGCUGGCGGCGUGCUUAACACAUGCAAGUCGAACGGAAAGGCCCUGCUUUUGUUGGGUGCUCGUGUGGCGAACGGGUGAGUAACACGUGAGUAACCUGCCCUUGACUUUGGGAUAACUUCAGGAAACUGGGGCUAAUACCGGAUAGGAGCUCCUGCUGCAUGGUGGGGGAUGGAAAGUUUCGGCGGUUGGGGAUGGACUCGCGGCUUAUCAGCUUGAUGGUGGGGUAGUGGCUUACCAAGGCUUUGACGGGUAGCCGGCCUGAGAGGGUGACCGGCCACAUUGGGACUGAGAUACGGCCCAGACGCCUACGGGAGGCAGCAGGGGGGAAUAUUGCACAAUGGGCGGAAGCCUGAUGCAGCAACGCCGCGUGCGGGAUGACGGCUUUCGGGUUGUAAACCGCUUUCGCAUGUGACGAAGCGUGAGUGACGGUAAUGGGUAAAGAAGCACCGGCUAACUACGUG